rnacentral:tRNA from 1 species
ACGCGCAAGCUCUCCGGAGGGCAGCGCGCCGUUCUGAUCGCCGCGACAGUCCCGAUGGUCGGCUUCGCCGGGCUCGGCGCCUGGGGCACGUUC